rnacentral:rRNA from 1 species
UACGUAGGGUCCGAGCGUUGUCCGGAAUUAUUGGGCGUAAAGAGCUCGUAGGCGGUGUGUCACGUCGGCCGUGAAAACCUGCAGCUUAACUGUGGGCGUGCGGUCGAUACGGGCAUCACUGGAGUUCGGCAGGGGAGACUGGAAUUCCUGGUGUAGCGGUGAAAUGCGCAGAUAUCAGGAGGAACACCGGUGGCGAAGGCGGGGUCUCUGGGCCGAAAUUGACGCUGGAGGAGCGAAAGCCGUGGGGAGCAAACAGG